UGUAGCCGACUUUACUGAAGAUGUGGAGGCACAAUGAGGAUUUACAUAGCAAAAAUACAAAAAACCUUAAGAUUGAAUAUCGACAUCCAUGAACUUAAGAGACUCAGUUAUUUCUACCCCUGGGCUUCAGGGUUCACCUCAUCCCAGCCCCACCCCUUCUUAGGAGGUAAAACAGAAGUCAAAUUCCUCACAGCUUCUUACUGAGAGCUCAGCCCUCCUAGAUCUUUCCCCGCAGCUUCACACAGUGUUAGAUUCCUAAUGAAGAAUGCGUCUCUCCUUAAUGCUGAGGACAGCAUGAGGGUGAAAGACAAACUGGUGGGGCCAUGAGCCUGCAGGCCUUCUCUUUGACCUCUCUGAGGAACACCAGCACCCUAGGGGUGUGUGUGUGUGUGUGUGUGUGUGUGUGCGUGCGUGCGUGCGUGUGCAUGUCUCCCAGAGACACCUUUUCCCCUCAUGCUGGGGCUGCAACCCAGGCCUCGUGCAUAUGAACCCUCUAUCACUCAGCUCCGUUCUUUACCACUGAGGUACAGCCCCAGCCCUUUUUACUUUUUGAGACAGAAUCUUUCUAAAUUACCCAAGCAAGGUUUCGACCUGUAAUUCUCCUGCUUCAGCCUCUCAAGCAGCUAGAACAUACACCAAGAGGUGACAUCCUCUGAAUGCUUAUGAGCUAGGGGUGGCACGGCUCCUUGAAACAUUUCAUCUUCCCCUUCCCAACAGGAUUCUGAAGUCACAGCCCUUCCCUCCCGUCUUGCCUAAGUCUACGAAGGCUGCAGGAGGGUAAGCCAGCUGCUUGAGGUCACUUGACUUGGGAGAGGCCGCUGAGUCCGGGGUUAGCUCAGCUGGAGAGUUCAGCUCUUGAGAACAUCUUAUAUAGCUUAGGUCUUUGGGGAAAAGCUCCUUUUCAUUCUUCUUUUUUAAAAAAACUUAUCUAUUUUAUUUUUUCAUUUUUGGGCAUGGUGACCCCAAGGUGAAGUCCACACCACUGUGCCCACAUCCCCUAUGUCUGGUGGCCAGGUGGGUGAUGGGCACCAGUACAGCCCCACCCGACACAGCCCUGCAGCCUCAGGUGCUUUCUCCUGUCACAUCCACCCUGUCCUCCAGCCUCCUCCACCCACUGCUCACAAACUCUGAACCCAGUCUGAGAGGUAGCAGGUGUAUAAGGACCAAGCACACACAAGACAUGAAGCCACUCAGGGUAGCCCCACCCACUCUACUGGCUACGCACGCACGCACGCACGCACGCACGCACCCACGCACAUCUUCCUGCAUGGGUUUUCAUUUCAGGAAAUCUUCACAUUCCCCUUCAUGGGCAUAAUCUACUUAGCCAUGCUCAGACCCACAAGGGGGUGACUUGCCUCCCUCUCCCCCUUUCUACUUGAUGAUACUGCCAGCUCUAAACCGUGUCAGGGGGACCAGGGGCUUGAGGUCCCUUCCUCACCACCCAGGUGUGCUGCGUAUUCCCUUGCUGCCUCCUCACUGCCAGGCACGGUGGCCUCAGGAAGCCAACCUAGCUGGGGCCCAGCAGGGCAGGCGAUCGCACUGCACAACUCAUUCCUCUCGUCUACGGCAGCUCCAGGGUUUUCUGAAACUCAGAUCCCAAGCACUUGCUCUGCUAACACUUCUCCAGGGCUUCCCUUCACAACAAGGAAAAGCCCAGUUCUCAGGAGUGAGCACGAGGAGGUCCCCAGGGCUAGGUUUCCUGCUUCUCUUCCCCAUCUGGGUGCUGGCUGGGGCACUGCUGGCCCUGAGAUUCACUCAUAUUCCAGACUCAGCAGCCUCCUCUCAACACCUAGGACACUGUCCCCUGCCUGUCUCUAGGACUUGUUGGGACCAUUGUGCUGUCCCUCCCAGCUCCAGGAGCUGCCUCUUCUUGUCCUUCAAGAGCCAGCCCAAUGCCCUCACCCCAGGAUGUCCCAGCAGUGACCAGAAGCUCUGCCCAGUCACACCCUCCACAGCUCUCCCCUUGACGUACACAUCUUCCUCACUGACUCACUCUUCAUCCAAAGCAAGCACAACAGGAGCUUGUCUGUCUGUGCGCCGACAACCCCAACGCCCAGGCCAGAGCUGGAGUUAGGUAUCUGCAAAGUGCAUGAGUAAGUGCACUGACAUCCAGGCAAGUUAUCUCAGCUUCUGCACCUCUCUUCAUCUUUACAAUGGGGGUGCUGGGGCAGUGGUGCACACCUGUAGCUCCCACCACUUGGAAAACUGAGGCACAAGGAUCACUUGAGCCAAGGUAUUUCAGGUCAGCCUGGGUCACAUAGCAAGAAACUGAGUCAAGAAAAGAGAAAAAGAAAUGGGUCCAUGAGAACUGGAGAACUCACGGAGCUGCUCUUUUUAGGGCCAUGAAGCAGCCCAGCCAUGGUGGGCACAUACUUUCACCCAGGGCUGGGCUUGGCUCAGCCUUCCACAGAAGAGGCUUCUUAGGUACCACAGAUAGAACCUGGUACCUCAUGCAUGCCAGACAGGCUCUACCAUGAACUACAUCCCCAGCUCCUCUUAUUUUGAGACAGGGUUUUUCCCAAUUGCCUAGACUGGCCUCAAACUUGCUACCCUCCUGCCUCAGCUUCCUGAGGAGCUGGGAUUAUAGUUGUACCCAGUGCUCUUAAAAAAUGAGUCACAUGGCCAGGGAGAUGGCUCAGUAGAAUAAGUGCUUCCCUGGCAAGUGCAAGGGCCUGAGUUCAAUCCCCAGUUCUGCCAAAAAAAAAAAAAAAAAAGAAAAAAAGAAAGAAAAAAUGAGUCACAGGUGGUCAGCAGGUGGAGAGGAAGGCACUACUGGCUGGAGGAACAGGUGACACCAACAGCAAGGCAGAGAGGUUGGGGGCUCUGAGCAUCAGGGGUCAGGGAACCUGGGAGCUGGGUGGUGCUGCAGGGAAGGUGGCCAAGCCAUUUCCCUUUGACCCCAACAAGACCACAGGGAAGCAGAAAAAUGUAGCACCUUCAAAGGUGAUCCCUGGGCCAUGUCCACCUGUAAAUAGGUGGUGCUCCCCUGGCUGCUUGAACUGUUAAAAGGGGAAGCUCAGAGCCAAUGCCAGACCCAUCCCUGCAGCCCCACCCAUCACAACACAGAGGGCCACCUCCUUAACUGUACGAGGCCAAAGGGCCCACACACUCCCUCUCUGGGCCUACGCGCAGGUGCCCAGUGCUGGGGCCACCAGGCAGUCUCUGAAUCCAAACAGCCCUGGCACGGCAUUGAGGAGGCAGAACUGUGGGGCGGGGACUGCAAACCUAGGCUGGCAUGUGCCAGAGCACAUGCCCACCGCUGGGCACUCAGUCCAGACAUUAGAAUGCCUGCCCCUCUUUACCUGGCAUCUAUCUGUGGAAGACAAGCACAUCUGGGAAACGUCCACAGGGAACUAGAGUUAUGUGCCUCUCCUGACCUUUCCCUUCCCUUCCGUCUCCCCCAUCCCAGGUCUUCUCCCCAUUUCCAUAAGGCCUACCUCUCGGUUCCCUGCUAUCUAUGGUCCAUCUUUUAUUUUGCUUUUUAAAUUCUUUAUAUUUGGGUGAAAAAAAACCCAAUGAAUUCUUUACACUUUGGGUUGCCUCAUACAAUGGAAAGAUGUGCUAGUUAAGCUCACCUGACAUGCUGUCCUAGCUUUCAGGGAGAGCUGGGCCUCCCCAAACAAUACAUUUAUAACCAGGGCAGGAGGCCAAAUUCUAGUCCUGCUUCUUGAAGAGGUUGUGAAGCUGCUUUAUGAUGGGAUCAGUAGGUGCUGGGCCGAGGACAGAGGAAACUGGGUGGCUUUGACUCUCUUCCCAUACUGGACAGGAUGCCAGCCAGGUUCCUCCCAUAGUUUAUCUGUUCUAAGAACACAGUUCAGUAUAGCAUGCACACCUGGGGUAUGCAAAGCCCUGGGUUCCACUUCCAGCAAAACAUACACCACAUGUGCACAUACUCACAUAUACAUGCUGCCCACCUGUUACACCAUGCUCUGCUCAAGGGCCACCUCUUUCAGUCCUCCAUACCCUGGUCUCUAUUAUCUUCGUCCUCUGGCUGCUUUGAGGAUGUGCCCAUCCCUCUGACAGCUUUCCCACCUAGCUCCAUAGUUAGACCACCACAUGUGCUAAGUAUUAAUAUCACUAUUGAUAUUUACUGACCACAUGGGUAUGCUGAGCACCAUGGUAGGAGCUGUGCAUACACGAGGUAGGUUAUUAUUAUACCCAUUUUACAGAUGGGAUAACUGAGGCACACAGAAUUUAAGUAGUUUACCCCAAGUCCCUGAACUGGUGGGCAGGCUAACUCCAGAGCUGCUGUGCCUAACACCACUUCAGAGAAUCCCUCAAUGAUGCUGUACACAGAAGAUCUGCUGGAGCACAGAGCUCAUGGCAAACACCCAGAGGUUUGAUCUUAUUCACCUCCCUGCAAGCUGCUAGGACUGUGGUUCCUGUCCGGGAAGACAGCACCAAUGACCAGGAGGUGGCAGCAAGGAGCCACACACAGGCUCCCUCCCACAGGGGCAGGGAGCUGUUCAGGGUGGGUAUCUUUGGCACUUCCCCGGCCUCCUGGCUCCUCAUCUGUGCCCCUCCUCUGGUUACAGAGGAGCUGUGGGUUGCGGGGG